rnacentral:lncRNA from 1 species
UACUCUCUUCAAUUCCGAUGAUGAUUUUGAUUUACUGUAAAUGACUGAAUUUAAUGAACUAAAUUAUACUAUUUAAAUGCAUUUGCCUUCUUGGAUAGGACACAUUGAAAAAAGGAGCCUUUAUUUACCUGGUGAAAUGAAGGUGAUAUCUCAGCAAAUCACUAGGUCUUACUGACCUUGGCAGAAUUACAGUGCUAAUAUUUUCACAUGGAUGAA